AUUCAUCAUGUAUGCUUUUCUAAUUAUAAUGGGGGGGUGGGGGAUGAAGAGGGAACUUUUCGGAGCCACACACCGGAAUUUACUUUUGAGGAAAUUAAAGUGUCAUAGCAAAUAGUGUUUGAAUACUACAGCAUGAUACAAAUAGGACUUUGGUAUGUUUUGUGGAGUAGAGAAACCCAAAGUAAAGAUGAAUAGGGACAGUUGGGGGCAUUGGAAUUGAUAGUCAGAGGUGAAAUUCAUGGAUUUAUCAAAGACCAACAAAGGCGAAAGCAUUUGCCAAGGAUGUUUUCAUUGAUCAAGAACGAAAGUCAGGGGAUCGAAGACGAUUAGAUACCGUCGUAGUCUUGACCGUAAACGAUGCCGACUUGGGGGAGGUGCGAGAUGAGAAGCGCAUCACAACCAAAGGAGAAAUCAAAGUGUAUGGGUUCUGGGGGGAGUAUAGUCGCAAGGCCGAAACUUGAAGGAAUUGACGGAAGGGCACCACCAGGAGUGGAGCCUGCGGCUUAAUUUGACUCAACACGGGAAAACUUACCAGGUCCGGACAUGAUGAGGAUUGACAGAUUGAGAGCACUUUUAAGAUUUCAUGGGAGGUGGUGCAUGGCCGUUCUUAGUUGGUGGAGUGAUUUGUCAGGUUAAUUCCGAUAACGAGCGAGACCCUGUGAUGACGGUAAUGAUUGAGUAUGUAAAUACGCGAGACGUUUCUUCAUCGACACCCCA
rnacentral:rRNA from 1 species